UACACUCCUGCGGGAGGCAGCAGUGGGGAAUUUUGGACAAUGGGCGCAAGCCUGAUCCAGCCAUGCCGCGUGCGGGAAGAAGGCCUUCGGGUUGUAAACCGCUUUUGUCAGGGAAGAAAAGGUUCUGGCUAAUACCUGGGACUCAUGACGGUACCUGAAGAAUAAGCACCGGCUAACUACGUGCCAGCAGCCGCGGUAAUACGUAGGGUGCAAGCGUUAAUCGGAAUUACUGGGCGUAAAGCGUGCGCAGGCGGUUAUGCAAGACAGAGGUGAAAUCCCCGGGCUCAACCUGGGAACUGCCUUUGUGACUGCAUGGCUAGAGUACGGUAGAGGGGGAUGGAAUUCCGCGUGUAGCAGUGAAAUGCGUAGAUAUGCGGAGGAACACCGAUGGCGAAGGCAAUCCCCUGGACCUGUACUGACGCUCAUGCACGAAAGCGUGGGGAGCAAACAGGAUUAGAAACCCCAGUAGUCCCA
rnacentral:rRNA from 1 species